rfam:Brevundimonas diminuta ATCC 11568 genomic scaffold BDIM_scaffold00003, whole genome shotgun sequence.
CGCCGUUCUCCGGGGGGUCGCAAUCGAGCGGCUGAGAUUGAGGUUUCUCCUCUGACCCGUCGAACCUGAUCCGGGUCAUGCCGGCGAAGGGACGAGUUCACCGCUUUCGA